AUGGACACCGGCUGUCUAUCGUCUAUGAACAUAGCUGGAGCAAAGCAAGUAAGAUCUUUUGCUGGGCAACUUCAUACACAGAGGUGCUUCACAAGCAGCAGUGUCCAAGCACUAAAAACUAGCCAUCGUACGACCUUUAGUUCGACUUCCCCUGGCUUAAGGAAUAAAGGAAAAGGAUCACGACGUGGACUUCGUGCUCUGCAGGUUGUUUGCCAAGAUUUUCCAAGGCCUCCACUAGAGAACACAAUUAACUAUUUGGAAGCUGGCCAGCUUUCUUCGUCGUUUAGAAGCAGUGAACGCCCCAGUAAACCAUUACAGGUCGUGAUUGCUGGUGCAGGAUUGGCUGGUCUAUCAACUGCAAAGUACCUGGCAGAUGCUGGCCAUAAACCCAUAGUGCUUGAGGCAAGAGAUGUGUUGGGCGGAAAGUUAGCUGCAUGGAAGGAUGAAGAUGGUGAUUGGUACGAGACUGGCCUUCAUAUUUUUUUUGGAGCUUAUCCCAAUGUGCAGAAUUUGUUUGCUGAGCUUGGUAUUAGUGAUCGCUUGCAAUGGAAGGAACACUCCAUGAUAUUUGCCAUGCCAAACAAACCAGGAGAAUACAGCCGUUUUGAUUUCCCAGAGACUUUGCCGGCGCCCUUAAAUGGAGUGUGGGCCAUACUGAAAAACAAUGAAAUGCUUACUUGGCCGGAGAAGGUGAAGUUUGCUAUUGGGCUUCUACCUGCAAUGCUUGGUGGCCAAGCUUACGUUGAAGCUCAAGAUGGCUUAACUGUUUCAGAAUGGAUGGAAAAGCAGGGUGUUCCUGAUCGAGUCAACGACGAGGUUUUUAUUGCAAUGUCCAAGGCACUCAAUUUCAUAAACCCUGACGAGUUAUCCAUGCAGUGCAUCCUGAUUGCUCUAAACCGAUUUCUCCAGGAGAAGCAUGGCUCGAAAAUGGCAUUCUUGGAUGGUAAUCCUCCUGAAAGGCUAUGCAUGCCUAUUGUUAACCACAUUCAGUCUUUGGGUGGUGAGGUCCGGCUGAAUUCUCGUAUUCAGAAAAUUGAACUGAACCCUGACGGAACUGUGAAGCACUUUGCACUUACUGAUGGGACUCAAAUAACUGGAGAUGCAUAUGUUUGUGCAGCACCAGUCGAUAUCUUCAAGCUUCUUGUACCACAAGAGUGGAGAGAGAUCUCUUAUUUCAAAAGGCUGGAUAAGUUGGUGGGAGUUCCUGUCAUCAAUGUUCAUAUAUGGUUUGACAGAAAACUGAAAAACACGUAUGACCACCUUCUUUUCAGCAGGAGUUCACUUUUAAGCGUUUAUGCAGACAUGUCUUUAGCGUGCAAGGAGUACUAUGAUCCAAACCGUUCAAUGCUGGAGUUGGUCUUUGCUCCAGCAGAGGAAUGGAUCGGGCGGAGUGACACCGAAAUCAUCGAAGCAACUAUGCUCGAGCUAGCCAAGUUGUUUCCUGAUGAAAUCGCUGCUGACCAGAGUAAAGCAAAGAUUCUUAAAUACCAUGUUGUGAAGACACCGAGGUCCGUUUACAAGACCGUGCCGAAUUGCGAACCUUGCCGACCACUGCAACGAUCACCGAUCGAAGGGUUCUAUCUGGCCGGCGAUUACACAAAGCAGAAAUACUUGGCUUCCAUGGAGGGUGCGGUUUUGUCAGGAAAGUUUUGUGCUCAGUCCAUAGUGCAGGAUUCUAAGAUGCUGUCCCGCAGGAGCCAGGAGAGCCUGCAAUCCGAAGCCCCCGUGGCUUCCCAGUUGUAG
rnacentral:rRNA from 1 species